GUGAGUCCUCAGCCAAAAACCUCUCAUCUCAUACACGGUUAAUCUUUCUCUAGCAAGGCAAGAUUUCCAGUUUUAAAACCAACCAAACAGAGGCAUGGCUGCUUAAUACUGAGAAGUUGGAUCUUCCUCUACACAGCAUGACUUUUAGGAGGAGGAGCCCUAACUUUGCUUUAGUUUGCUUGUGGUUCCAGAAGCUGCAGUGGAUUGGUGGGUGUCGAGCACAAUAAUAAACAGCAGAAUCUUCAGUUUUCAGACUGUUCAUCUGCAGAUACAGCUGGUUUCUGCCGUUGUCUCUGGAGAUGGUGAAACGACCUUGAACUGACUGGGAAUAGUAAGUGCUACUGUCAUAACGGAUAGCAGCGAUCCACUCCAGUCCAUUUCCAGGAGCCUGUCUGAUCCAACUCAUCCGGUAGUCGCUGAAUGUGAAUCCAGAUGUUGUACAGGUCAGUCUGUGGGAUUCUCCAGGUCUUUUCACUGCAGGUCCAGAUUCAGUCAGAGUCUUACCAUCAACACCUGUGAAGACAAACAAGAAAACAGUCAGUGUCUAUAAGCUGCUUGUUUUUUUGAGCUACAACAUUUUUUUCAGACAGGUGAAUAUCUUGACCUUCCCAGCAGAUAGUUAAGAGCAGCAGUCCUGUCCUACAGUCCAUCAUGUUCAACUGUUCUCUAGUAUGAGUCCUGCAGUCAGAUAAGUAGAGGUAGAGGGUGUCAUGUCAGCUCCCAGACUGUGUCUGGAUUUGUCUGUCUUUUAUGUUGUCUGUCAUUUCCUGUCUUAUUUUGUUAAGUUCUCCUCUUGUGUCAUGUCUGGUGUCUUUGCUUCCCUUCCCUGACU